rnacentral:rRNA from 1 species
GAUGAACGCUGGCGGCGUGCCUAAUACAUGCAAGUCGAACGCUGGAAAUCUAGCUUGCUAGAUUGAAGGAGUGGCGAACGGGUGAGUAAUACAUAAGCAACCUACCCACGAAGACUGGGAUAAUCUCUGGAAACGGGGACUAAUACCGGAUAGGUAAUCGGAAGGCAUCUUCUGAUUAUUAAAGGUUAAAAACACUGGUGGAUGGGCUUAUGGCGCAUUAGUUAGUUGGUGAGGUAACGGCCCACCAAGACGAUGAUGCGUAGCCGGCCUGAGAGGGUGAACGGCCACAUUGGGACUGAGACACGGCCCAGACUCCUACGGGAGGCAGAAGUAGGGAAUUUUCGGCAAUGGGGGAAACCCUGACCGAGCAACGCCGCGUGAGUGAUGACGGCCUUCGGGUUGUAAAGCUCUGUUGUAAGGGAAGAACGGUAGAUAGAGAAUAUCUAAAUGACGGUACCUUACCAGAAAGCCACGGCUAACUACGUG